rnacentral:rRNA from 1 species
UGUCCUACGGGAGGCAGCAGUGGGGGAUAUUGCACAAUGGGGGAAACCCUGAUGCAGCGACGCCGCGUGUGGGAAGACGGUCUUCUGGAUUGUAAACCACUGUCCCCAGGGACGAAAAUGACGGUACCUGGGGAGGAAGCUCCGGCUAACUACGUGCCAGCAGCCGCGGUAAUACGUAGGGGGCAAGCGUUAUCCGGAUUUACUGGGUGUAAAGGGAGCGUAGACGGCAGGGCAAGUCUGGAGUGAAAGGCGGGGGCUCAACCCCCGGACUGCUCUGGAAACUGCCAGGCUGGAGGGCAGGAGAG